rnacentral:rRNA from 1 species
AAAGGAAUAGACGGGCACCCGCACAAGCGGUGGAGCAUGCUGUUUAAUUCGAAGAUACGCGAAGAACCUUACCUGGGCUUGACAUCCCAAUGAAAGCUUUUGGAAACAAGAGCCCUCCUUUCGGGGACAUUGGUGACAGGUGGUGCAUGGUUGUCGUCAGCUCGUGUCGUGAGAUGUUGGGUUAAGUCCCGCAACGAGCGCAACCCCUAUCCUUAAUUGCUAACAUUAAGUUGAGAACCUUAAGGAGACUGCCGGUGACAAACCGGAGGAAGGUGGGGAUGACGUCAAAUCAUCAUGCCCCUUACGUCCAGGGCUACAGGCGUGCUAUAAUGGCCGAUAUAAAAAGACGCGAACCCGCGAGGGGUAGCAAAUCUCCAAAGUCGGUCUCAGUCCGGAUUGAAGUCUGCAACUCGACUUCAUGAAGUUAGAAUCGCUAGUAAUCGUGAAUCAGAAUGUCACGGUGAAUACGUUCCCGGGUGUUGUACACACCGCCCGU